AUUGAACGCUGGCGGCAGGCCUAACACAUGCAAGUCGAGCGAGCGGCGGACGGGUGAGUAAUGUAUGGGCAACUGCCUGAUGGAGGGGGAUAACUACUGGAAACGGUAGCUACUACCGCAUACCAUCAGAUGUGCCCAGAUGGGAUUAGCUAGUAGGUGGGGUAAUGGCUCACCGUGGCGACGAUCCCUAGCUGGUCUGAGAGGGUGACCAGCCACACUGGAACUGAGACACGGUCCAGACUCCUACGGGAGGCAGCAGUAGGGAAUAUUGCACAAUGGGCGAAAGCCUGAUGCAGCCAUGCCGCGUGUGUGAAGAAGGUCUUCGGAUUGUAAAGCACUUUCGGCGGAGAGGCGUUACCUACACAAGAAGCACCGGCUAACUCCGUGCCAGCAGCCGCGGUAAUUC
rnacentral:rRNA from 1 species